rnacentral:rRNA from 1 species
CAGUCGCCACGGGAAUACGGAGGGUGCAAGCGUUAAUCGGAAUUACUGGGCGUAAAGCGCACGCAGGCGGUCUGACAAGUCAGAUGUGAAAUCCCCGGGCUUAACCUGGGAACUGCAUUUGAAACUGUCAGGCUGGAGUCUUGUAGAGGGGGGUGGAAUUCCAGGUGUAGCGGUGAAAUGCGUAGAGAUCUGGAGGAAUACCGGUGGCGAAGGCGGCCCCCUGGACAAAGACUGACGCUCAGGUGCGAAAGCGUGGGGAGCAAACAGGAUUAGAUACCCGGGUAGUCCCUGUCUCUUAUAA